AUUGAACGCUGGCGGCAGGCCUAACACAUGCAAGUCGAACGAGCGGCGGACGGGUGAGUAAUGUAUGGGGACUGCCCGAUAGAGGGGGAUAACUACUGGAAACGGUGGCUAAUACCGCAUACUAUCGGAUAACCCAUAUUGGAUUAGCUAGUAGGUGGGGUAAAGGCUCACCAAGGCAACGAUCUCUAGCUGGUCUGAGCGGAUGACCAGCCACACUGGGACUGAGACACGGCCCAGACUCCUACGGAGGCAGCAGUGGGGAAUUUUGCACAAUGGGCGAAAGCCUGAUGCAGCCAUGCCGCGUGUAUGAUGAAGGCCUUAGGGUUGUAAAGUACUUUCGGCGGGGAGGCGUUAUCUGCAGAAGAAGCACCGGCUAACUCCGUGCCAGCAGCCGCGGUAAUAC
rnacentral:rRNA from 1 species